rnacentral:snRNA from 1 species
GUACAUAUACUAAAAUUGGAAUGAUGCAGAGAAGAUUACCAUGGAUCCUGUGCAAGGUUGACACACAGAUUCAUGAAGAGUUCCAUAAUUCUU